AUGAGAUCACUUCUGCGGCUCUCCCUGCUGCGGCCCGCUUCCUCCUCAUUUACAUCUCGCACGCUCUCAGAGCGGGGAGAAGGAAGAGCGGCGACCGCAGGGAGGGGGCUGCCUGCGGGAGGGGAACCGGGGCGCAGCCUCUCCCCCCGGCACGGGGGUCCGGGCAGUGGCUGUGGCCGAGCCACUGACCAGCUCCCCCCUUCCCUUCCCUUCCCUUCCCUUCCCUUCCCUUCCCUUCCCACACGGCGCCGCGCUCUCAGAAACACGGGGUUGCUUUCUACUAAGACCUAUUUCUGCCUUCCUUCUGAGCCCCAGAGAGGAUACUUGCACUUUUUUGAGACUAAGUGGUCAAAGGAGGGAUCCUCUCUCAAAAUGAACAGGUUGCCCAGAGAAGCUGUGGCUGCCCCAUCCCUGGAGGGGUUCAAGGCCAGAAAACCUGGCAGGAGCUAGGAGUCUGCUGACGGCUGAAAAUGGAGGAGCAGAGUUCAUCUUAAAUUAGAAGCAACUGCUGCUACCAGCAGCCUCUGAGAGACCGUAGACUUUCAGCUUCCCUUGUUUUAUCCAGAGCAGGUGAUUAAAUUAAAUAACUUCUUCACUUGUGUCUUCUUGAUACCUUUGUGCUGCCUGUGCACACUUCAGCCAAGCAGCAAAUGAGAAUUUGGUGUGGGUUUUAAAGAUAAAAUUUGGAUUUUCUUUAAUUUUCAGAGUCUUUGCUGACCACAGUGCCUGGGAAUGAACGACUGGAGGGAGAUGCUGGAGGAGCAGCCACUCCUCCCUUUCUGAUGAGGUCCAACAGACGAGAUGCUGCUGGCAACGGAGUGGUCGGUCAAGGCUAUCUAAUAAUUUCAGUAACGCUUUUUGCAGUGUCCCACGAGCCUGGAGAUCAUGGUGUUUCUGUAGGUAUUUAUCUAAGCCUUCCCAGGCUUGUUUCCCAGAGCAGCAGGUUCUUCUUCCUGUCUCUUUCCCUUUGCAGGGCUGUUCUCUCUCUCCUUGUUGGGCAAAACACUGGUGACGGAGCAGAGCCAGAGGCUUUCCCGGGGACACUUUGUGCCAUCGUGCCUUGUGGAACGACUUGUUUGAUCCUCUCCAGUUCUCCAUCGCAGUGGGAGCAGAAGCAGCCCAUGGAGAAACAUUUCUCUUUCGCUUUGCCUCGACUCAUCCAAGACCGUGGUCCUGCUGGUGUGUGAACCGGGAGAGACCUUUCUCUUGGUGCUUCCAUUCCGUAAUAAAUCAUGUUUCCUGCAGGAAAACCA
rnacentral:lncRNA from 1 species